GAUGGCGGUGAUAGGAAGUUGAAUACUGCAGCUCCCAAUGGAUCACUGAAGUUAAGCAACGUUGCGCGUGGUUGGUAUCCAGAGAGGUAACUAAAUAAAUGGAAAUCUUGUCUCGACGGCA
rnacentral:rRNA from 1 species